rnacentral:rRNA from 1 species
UACGUAGGGUGCAAGCGUUAAUCGGAAUUACUGGGCGUAAAGCGUGCGCAGGCGGUGAUGUAAGACAGAUGUGAAAUCCCCGGGCUCAACCUGGGAACUGCAUUUGUGACUGCAUCGCUGGAGUGCGGCAGAGGGGGAUGGAAUUCCGCGUGUAGCAGUGAAAUGCGUAGAUAUGCGGAGGAACACCGAUGGCGAAGGCAAUCCCCUGGGCCUGCACUGACGCUCAUGCACGAAAGCGUGGGGAGC